rnacentral:rRNA from 1 species
AGAGUUUGAUCAUGGCUCAGGAUGAACGCUGGCGGCGUGCUUAACACAUGCAAGUCGAACGGAGUUGAUCGGAGGAAGUUUUUGGAUGGAAUCGGAUUGACUUAGUGGCGGACGGGUGAGUAACGCGUGGGUAACCUGCCUCACACUGGGGGAUAACAGAUAGAAAUAUCUGCUAAAACCGCAUAAGCGCACGAGGUCGCAUGACCAUGUGUGAAAAACUCCGG